GACAGCCCUGCUCUGUUAGCUAGACCUUGAGGACACAGGCUCUGGGUAUGUCAAUGUCCUGGGACAGCCAAGUGAUCUGUUUAGUAGGGAUAUUUAAACAGUACAAAUUUGUCCUGUCAAUUCUGUAGCCUCAAAGUCUAAAGUCAAGAUAAGCCACACGUCCCAGGAGGUCCCUUCUGUCUCUCCAGCUUCGUCCGUCCACAGGCCUCUGCAUUCCUAGCUCCGCACUUAGGCUCUGCCUCUUUUUGUGUGAGAUCUCUCCAUUUGUCCGUGUAGCGUGUAUGUGUUUGGUGACCGUGGAGGUCAGAAGAAGCCAUCAGAUCCCCAGGAAUUGGUCAAGAGGCCCAAUGUGGGAGCUGAGACUCAGAACAGGGUCUUCUGGAAAAGUCAUUAACCACUGAGUCAACUCUUCAAACCCAACCUCAAAUUCUUGAUAUACAAAUUUCAAAAUGGGCUGACCUGCUUGGCGGACUCAAUACAGGUAUGCAUGGAAAUACCACUGGGGACCAUUCUUCUCCCCACACGGUCCCUGUGCUGCAUUUAAUCUCCAUGGAGAAGCAGGGGUUCCUGUUAAAGUUGGUAUUGGAAGCUAAGAGCAGGUAUGGAAAAGGCUGUGUCCAAAAUCCAGCUUGACAAGUUAAUUUGGUCACAUUCUCAGGGUAAGUCAGCCAAGCCACCCCUGUCAUCACUCUGCAAAGCACACAUGGAACUCUCAUUUCCAGGCAGGGUAGAAGCAAAGGCCAUCUCUUCUAAGUUCCCUUACCCUCCGCCCUGGAUGGGGCAUGCAUUCUCCCUUUGUAGAAUUCCUUACUCUGAGGCUUUCCUCAGAGAAAGGUGGCUACAGUAUCCUUGCAUCCUUUAGAGUCAGACUGUCCCUUGUCCUCUUGACUCCUAAAAUUUACAAAAUGAAGGACACCGGAAUGAUAUCAUGGGUCUCGGUAGAAGCAGAUCUGGUCAAUAAUGGACCUGGCCAUCAUGGAACCUGCCCAUCAAUCUUUUUGGUCCUUGAACAGCCAGCGUUUAUCAUCAGGGAGUGUGGCAUGCAACUCGGAUAUAGUAGUGGUUUGUUCUAGACCUGGCACCCGUCCCUUCCUCCUGCUGCAGGGAGUUAUGGCCAAUACCUGGCUCUCACAAAGUCGAAGGGACAGGAGCUGUGGGCUGAACCUUGAGUCACAGGCUCACCCAACUUCUCCACUAUGAUCUGGGUGCUUAUAGCCUCCAGCACUACUGAGCAGAGUCCCUAAAAAUCAGCAGAGCAACAAGACAAGAGGGACUGGGUCAGGGUGACCAUGUGGGAUUGGCAAUCUUGCAAAGAAGCAGAGGAAUGAAUCCCAUAUUUUCUGAAGUCACUGUGCUUGGCUUUUCUUGGUUACCGAGGUUUGUCAUAGGCUAGAGAGGCUGCAGGAUGGAUCGUGGCAACCUCGACGUCCCCAGGACUCUCACUCCCAUGUUACCUCCGAUAGCCAGAGCUCCAGGACUGCCUCACUUGCUGGCCAGCUCAGGAGGGCACCUCAGCCUGCCCUUGGCCACCUGCCAGCCCUACCACGUGCUAUCCUGACUCAGCAAGUCUGGCAUUAGGCCAUCCUGGACAGAGUGUGUGUGCGCGAGGUUAUAUUUGUCUGCCAGGGCUGCAGAAUCAAGAGCUGAGUCCUGAUGGAGGAGGCCUGAGAUUUGGCUUCUCACUUAUGUCUCUGAACUUGGAUAAUCGAACAGAGGGGCUGUAAGUUCCAGGGCAGUUGGCACCUGGAUAUAAUAUCCCAUGCUGUGGGAUUUUACAGAAGGAAGGAGGGUGGCAUCAGCCAAGGAGGAGGACAGUAGUAAAAUUUACGUUUGUUUGA
rnacentral:sRNA from 1 species